GUGGGGAAUCUUCCGCAAUGGACGAAAGUCUGACGGAGCAACGCCGCGUGAGUGAUGAAGGUCUUCGGAUUGUAAAGCUCUGUUAAUCGGGACGAAAGAGCCUAGUGUGAAUAAUGCUAGGAAGUGACGGUACCGGAAUAGAAAGCCACGGCUAACUACGUGCCAGCAGCCGCGGUAAUACGUAGGUGGCAAGCGUUGUCCGGAAUUAUUGGGCGUAAAGCGCGCGCAGGCGGAUCUGCCAGUCUGUCUUAAAAGUUAGGGGCUUAACCCCGUGAUGGGAUGGAAACUACAGAUCUAGAGUAUCGGAGAGGAAAGUGGAAUUCCUAGUGUAGCGGUGAAAUGCGUAGAUAUUAGGAAGAACACCAGUGGCGAAGGCGACUUUCUGGACGAAAACUGACGCUGAGGCGCGAAAGCCAGGGGAGCGAACGGGAUUAGAUACCCGUGUAGUCC
rnacentral:rRNA from 1 species